rnacentral:tRNA from 1 species
UGCGGGGUAGAGCAGUUUGGUAGCUCGCAAGGCUCAUAACCUUGAGGUCACAGGUUCAAAUCCUGUCCCCGUGU